UGAGCAACCUGCCUUUCAGAGGGGGAUAACAGUUGGAAACGACUGCUAAUACCGCAUAACGCUGCGAUGGGGCAUCCCGAUGCAGCCAAAGGAGCAAUCCGCUGGAAGAUGGGCUCGCGGCCGAUUAGCUAGUUGGUGGGGCAACGGCCCACCAAGGCGACGAUCGGUAGCCGGACUGAGAGGUUGAUCGGCCACAUUGGGACUGAGACACGGCCCAGACUCCUACGGAAGGCAGCAG
rnacentral:rRNA from 1 species